AGUGAACGCUGGCGGUAGGCCUAACACAUGCAAGUCGAACGGCAGCACAGUAAGAGCUUGCUCUUACGGGUGGCGAGUGGCGGACGGGUGAGGAAUACAUCGGAAUCUACUUUUUCGUGGGGGAUAACGUAGGGAAACUUACGCUAAUACCGCAUACGACCUACGGGUGAAAACAGGGGAUCUUCGGACCUUGCGCGAUUGAAUGAGCCGAUGUCGGAUUAGCUAGUUGGCGGGGUAAAGGCCCACCAAGGCGACGAUCCUUAGCUGGUCUGAGAGGAUGAUCAGCCACACUGGAACUGAGACACGGUCCAGACUCCUACGGGAGGCAGCAGUGGGGAAUAUUGGACAAUGGGCGCAAGCCUGAUCCAGCCAUACCGCGUGGGUGAAGAAGGCCUUCGGGUUGUAAAGCCCUUUUGUUGGGAAAGAAAAGCAGCAGGUUAAUACCCCGCUGUUCUGACGGUACCCAAAGAAUAAGCACCGGCUAACUUCGUG
rnacentral:rRNA from 1 species